UACGUAGGGGGCAAGCGUUGUCCGGAAUCAUUGGGCGUAAAGCGCGUGUAGGCGGCUCGAUAAGUCCGCUGUGAAAGUCCAGGGCUCAACCCUGGAAUGCCGGUGGAUACUGUCGGGCUAGAGUCCGGAAGGGGCGAGUGGAAUUCCUGGUGUAGCGGUGAAAUGCGCAGAUAUCAGGAGGAACACCAAUGGCGAAGGCAGCUCGCUGGGACGUAACUGACGCUGAGACGCGAAAGCGUGGGGAGCAAACAGG
rnacentral:rRNA from 1 species